AAGGAUUAAUUAAUAUGUUAAUUAAUCAAACGAAUAAAGUUCGUUAAAAGACCUAGGGUUAGUUUUAGGCCUUAAGGCCCAAUGGGCUUCGAACGUCAAGCCCAUUGACUUAAGUUGUAUGACAACUUAAUGACUAAAUAUUCACAAAGGCCCAAACAACCCAAUAACACCCUAUGGCCGACCAUAUUGAUAAUGGAGUGGGUUUUGGACUUAUUACAAGUUUGCCACUCCAAUGAAGGUAGGUAUAAAUAUGACUUUAUAGCCUUUUCUUCAUUAGGGGUUUCUUUUGGGAGAAAAGAUGAGAACAAAAGCUCUCUUUGCUCUCUAAGAGGCCGGCCACCCUAGAGGAACAUAACUAGCAAUCUUACUUCCUCUAGGUCACUCAUUUCUUCAUCAAUCCUUCCUUGGUGUCGAGACUUAGAGGUUCUCAACUUUGAGAACUUGGAGAAACCAAUUCUUCCAUCCAAAUCCAUGGAGCUAAGAAGCAAGGAAUGAAGACCCUAUCUCUUGGGUGAUUAUCAUUUGCUUAUGCAAAGAGGAAUCAACAAAGGUAUAUAUUUGCAAACGCUAUCCAAAACUUGACAAAGAAAAACCGAAUGCUUUAGUUUCCGGACUUGGUACCACAAUCCCAAAGAUUGUCUUAAUGGAUUGUAUAUGUAUCUAAGUAGUCUAAUCCUCACAAUCUUCCUAUUGAUAAUGUAUCAUUGGAAGAACAUGUUAGAUAAGUCUAUCAUAAAGAGGACAACACUUUUAAUGUCAUAGUUCUUCACUUACAAAUCGUUGUAUGAAGAAAUAAGAGUUGCUUUGAACAACCCUUAGCUAAUGCAAACACUAAUGCUUGUUUCUUUGUUAAAUGAACAAAUUAACUUGAGAAGAAAGCACAAGGGCAUGGACACUUUAUGUGCCA
rnacentral:lncRNA from 1 species